rnacentral:rRNA from 1 species
CCUACGGGUGGCUGCAGUGGGGAAUAUUGCUCAAUGGGCGCAAGCCUGAAGCAGCGACGCCGCGUGAGGGAUGACGGCCUUCGGGUUGUAAACCUCUUUCAGCAGGGACGAAGCGAAAGUGACGGUACCUGCAGAAGAAGCACCGGCCAACUACGUGCCAGCAGCCGCGGUAAUACGUAGGGUGCGAGCGUUGUCCGGAAUUAUUGGGCGUAAAGAGCUCGUAGGCGGUCUGUCGCGUCGGCUGUGAAAACUCGGGGCUCAACCCCGAGCCUGCA